UACAGAGGAGCCAAGCGUUGUCCGGAUUGACUGGGCGUAAAGCGCACGCAGGCGGUCGGGCGCGUGGGGUGUGAAAUCUGGCCGCUUAACGGCCAGGCGCCAUCCCAUACGGCUCGACUGGAGUGAUGCAGAGGUCGAUGGAAUUGCCGGUGUAGUGGUGAAAUGCGUAGAGAUUGGGAAGAACAUCGGUGGCGAAAGCGCUCUACUGGACCUCAUCUGACACUCAGGGACGAAAGCUAGGGGAGCGAAUGGG
rnacentral:rRNA from 1 species